GCGCCGGUGGUGUAAUGGCGUAGAGCAUUCCCGCCCGGUUAGAGGGAGGUGCGGGUUCGAGUCCCGCCUGGCGCU
rfam:Heligmosomoides polygyrus genome assembly, scaffold: HPBE_scaffold0007603